rnacentral:rRNA from 1 species
GCGGUGAUUUAAUACUUAUUAGAGGAACUUGUUUUUUAAUCGAUAAACCACGUAGUAUCUUACUUACUUUAAAUAGUUUGUAUACCAUCAUUGUUAGAUAAUUUUAAGAGAAAUAAUUAUUGAAAUUAAUUAAUUAAAAAAAUUAGAUCAAGGUGCAGCUUAUAAGUAAGUUAAAAUGAGUUACAAUAAAAUUUAUUUAUUAUGGAUAUAAUAAUGAAAAAUAAUAUAGAAGGAGGAUUUAAUUGUAAUUAAAGUUUAAUAAGCUAUAAUGAUAAGAGCUCUAAAUCGUGU